AUUGAACGCUGGCGGCAGGCCUAGCACAUGCAAGUCGAACGGUAACAGGAAGCAGCUUGCUGCUUCGCUGACGAGUGGCGGACGGGUGAGUAAUGUCUGGGAAGCUGCCUGAUGGAGGGGGAUAACUACUGGAAACGGUAGCUAAUACCGCAUAAUGUCGCAAGACCAAAGAGGGGGACCUUCGGGCCUCUUGCCAUCGGAUGUGCCCAGAUGGGAUUAGCUUGUUGGUGGGGUAACGGCUCACCAAGGCGACGAUCCCUAGCUGGUCUGAGAGGAUGACCAGCCACACUGGGACUGAGACACGGUCCAGACUCCUACGGGAGGCAGCAGUGGGGAAUAUUGCACAAUGGGCGCAAGCCUGAUGCAGCCAUGCCGCGUGUAUGAAGAAGGCCUUCGGGUUGUAAAGUACUUUCAGCGGGGAGGAAGGGAGUAAAGUUAAUACCUUUGCUCAUUGACGUUACCCGCAGAAGAAGCACCGGCUAACUCCGUG
rnacentral:rRNA from 1 species